rnacentral:rRNA from 1 species
GUAAGGAAUAUUGGUCAAUGGACGAAAGUCUGAACCAGCCAUGCCGCGUGGAGGAUGAAGGUCCUCUGGAUUGUAAACUUCUUUUAUAUGGGACGAAAAAAGGCUUUUCUAAGUCGUCUGACGGUACCAUAUGAAUAAGCACCGGCUAACUCCGUGCCAGCAGCCGCGGUAAUACGGAGGGUGCAAGCGUUAUCCGGAUUCACUGGGUUUAAAGGGUGCGUAGGUGGAUUGCCAAGUCCGUGGUGAAAUCUUCGAGCUUAACUCGGAAACUGCCAUGGAUACUGGUGAUCUUGAAUAUCGUGGAGGUUAGCGGAAUAUGUCAUGUAGCGGUGAAAUGCUUAGAUAUGACAUAGAACACCAAUUGCGAAGGCAGCUGGCUACGCGAAUAUUGACACUCAGGCACGAAAGCGUGGGGAUCAAACAGGAUUAGAUACCCGGGUAGUCC